UACACGGUGGAUGCCCUGGCAGUCAGAGGCGAUGAAGGGCGUGCUAAUCUGCGAUAAGCGCCGGUAAGGUGAUAUGAACCGUUAUAACCGGCGAUACCCGAAUGGGGAAACCCAGUGUGACUCGUCACACUAUCAUUAACUGAAUCCAUAGGUUAAUGAGGCGAACCGGGGGAACUGAAACAUCUAAGUACCCCGAGGAAAAGAAAUCAACCGAGAUUCCCCCAGUAGCGGCGAGCGAACGGGGAGGAGCCCAGAGCCUGAAUCAGCAUGUGUGUUAGUGGAAGCGUCUGGAAAGGCGCGCGAUACAGGGUGACAGCCCCGUACACAAAAGCGCAUGUGCUGUGAGCUCGAUGAGUAGGGCGGGACACGUGGUAUCCUGUCUGAAUAUGGGGGGACCAUCCUCCAAGGCUAAAUACUCCUGACUGACCGAUAGUGAACCAGUACCGUGAGGGAAAGGCGAAAAGAACCCCGGCGAGGGGAGUGAAAAAGAACCUGAAACCGU
rnacentral:rRNA from 1 species